GAUCAAAGUGUAGUAUCUGUUCUUAUCAGCUUAAUAUCUGAUAUGUGGUGCAUGCACCACUUCGAUAUUAAACUGAUUUUUGGAACCAGGUGGUAGCUAAGGGGUUUACUCCUCUACCACCAUGGGUUGGCC
rnacentral:snRNA from 2 species